GUGGAUUAAGAACCACUAUGCUCCGGGCACUGGGCUAACCACUUACCACUAACACUUACAGCUACAAACUGUCUCAUCCGAGCCUUGCAACAACCCAGGGAAGCAGGUGUUAUUGUCAUACCCAUUUUCCAGUGGAGAAAACAAAGGCAAACAUGUUAAAGUGCUGCGUCACACCAACACAACCAAUGCGAAACCAGGGCCAAAUUUGGCCUUGUGUCUUCCUGGCUUCAGGCCCAGAGCUCUAUCCUCUGUGCCGCCCGCUGCCAGGGAAUGCGGAGUCUUUGGAGCAGGCGCUCCAGCACCAUCCUUCUCCCACUUUAUUGGAGCUCAUAUGCGAGUAAUGCCAGCAUGAAGGACGACCAUUCCCACCUCCAUGGAGAAUGAAUCCAAAGAGAUCCAUCCAUUGGAGGGGGAAGACUGGCAGGCGGAGACGUCAAGAAGUUCACACGGAAGGGGAGACUCUGGCUGAGCCUGAAAAGAAAGCAAAAGGCAAGAGCCUUCUAGGCAGGAUGCGGGACUAUCACUGUCGUGUUUGUGGCCAAGAGAGAUUGGCUGGAUUGCUGAGUGAGAGGAAUAAGAUACAGGGCUGUUGGGAGGAGAGGAUGACUCUUCUGGGGUAGCCCUUCAAGGCUAAACAUGGGGGUUCUCAUUUUAUCCUGGAGCCAAUAAAGAAGCACUGAUGAUUAUGGGA